GCCCCGGUAGCUCAGUCGGUUAGAGCCGGUCACUCAUAAUGACUAGGUCGCAGGUUCGAGCCCUGCCCGGGGCA
rnacentral:tRNA from 1 species